CCUACGGGAGGCAGCAGUGGGGAAUAUUGCGCAAUGGGCGAAAGCCUGACGCAGCGACGCCGCGUGAGGGAUGAAGGUCUUCGGAUCGUAAACCUCUGUCAGCAGGGAAGAAAAGUCCCUGUUCUAAUCAGCAGUGAAUUGACGGUACCUGCAAAGGAAGCACCGGCUAACUCCGGGCCAGCAGCCGCGGUAAUACGGAGGGUGCGAGCGUUAAUCGGAAUUACUGGGCGUAAAGGGCUCGUAGGCGGUAUGUCAAGUCAAGGGUGAAAUCCCAGGGCUUAACGUGGGAACUGCCUUUGAAACUGGCAAACUGGAUUGUUUGAGAGGAAAGUGGAAUUCCAGGUGUAGGAGUGAAAUCCGUAGAUAUCUGGAGGAACAUCAGUGGCGAAGGCGACUAUCUGGCACAUAACUGACGCUGAGGAGCGAAAGCGUGGGUAGCAAACAGGAUUAGAUACCCGUGUAGUC
rnacentral:rRNA from 1 species